UCGCAGCCUCGUGGAAGAGGAUUUGGCAGCGUCUAACAAAAAACUAUGUGGCAUUUGCCGUUUGACUCAGCAAUUCUAGAAUCUGCCUCAAAAAAACUCUGGCAAAGAAAUGAAAGGACUUUAUGCACAGAGUUCUUUUCACAGCCUGAAUGUGUUUACAACAAAGUUCUUCACUGUGGCAUUUGUAAAUGUAGGGAAAAGAGAGAUCAAACUGUUACUGUGUCUGUGUAGAAAAGGAAGACAUAAGAACUCCAUUCUGAUCUGUACCCUGAACAACUGUUUUGCCCUGAGAUGCUGUUAUUCUGUAACUUUGCCCCAACCUUGAGCUCACAGAAACGCGUGUUGUAUGGAAUCAAGGUUUAAGGAUCUAGGGCUGUGCAGGAUGUGCCUUGUGAACAAUAUGUUUACAGGCAGUGUGCUUGGGAAAAGUCAUUGCCAUUCUCCAUUCUCGAUAAACCAGGGGCACAGUGCACUGUGGAAAGCCGCAGGGACCUCUGCCUAGGAAAGCCGGGUACUGUCCAAGGCUUCUCCCCACUGAGAUAGCCUGAGAUAUGGGCUCGUGGGAUGGGAAAGACCUGACCGUUCCCCAGCCCGACACCCGUGGAGGGUCUGUGCUGAGGAGGAUGAGUGAAAGAGGAAGGCCUCUUGCAGUUGAAAUAAGAGGAAGGCCUCUGUCUCCUGCCUGCCUCUGGGAACGGAAUGUCUCGGAAUAAAACCCGAUUGUACAUUUGUUCAGUUCUGAGAUAGAAAAACCACCCUGUGGUGGGAGGUGAGACAUGUUGGCAGCAGUGCUGCUCUGUUACUCUUUACUCCACUGAGAGAUUUGGGUGGAGAGAAGCAUAAAUCUGGCCUACGUGCACAUCCAGGCAUAGUACCUUCCCUUGAACUUAUUUGUGACACAGAUUCCUCUGCUCACAUGUUUUCUUGCUGACCUUCUCCCCACUGUCACCCUGCUGUCCUGCCGCGUUCCUCUUGCUGAGAUAGUGAAAAUGGUAAUCAAUAAAUACUGAGGGAACUCAGACCGGGGCCAGUGCGGGUCCUCCGUACGCUGAGCGCUGGUCCCCUGGGCCCUCUGUUCUUCCUCUAUACUUUGUCUCUGUGUCUUAUUUCUUUUCUCAGUCUCUCAUCCCGCCUGAUGAGAAAUACCCACAGGCGUGGAGGGGCUGUCCCCCUUCAUUCUAUAGUUAUUAUAAAUGUACAGGAACGUUAAAAGGAACGUGUUUGUAUAAUGCCACUCAGUAGCCCAGGAAAUGACCAAUCUGAUGUGUGUUAUAAUCCAUCCAAGCCCCCUGCAACCACCAUUUUAAAAAUAAAAUUAAAAACUGGUCCUUUCCUUGGUGAUACAAGUAAAAUAAUAACUAGAACAGAAGAAAAAGAAAUUCCCAAACAAGUAACUUUAAAAUUUGAUGUUUGUGCAGCCAUUAAUGGUAACAAGCUAGAAUUAAAUGUAAUUCCCUUAACUAGGAAAAGAGCUACACAGUAAAAAAUAAAUGUUUGUCGUAAGUCAAGGGUCUGUGAAAAUUGUGCCUAUUGGCCAUGUGUUAUUUAGGCUACUUAAAAACAGGACAGAAAGGACCCAGUUCACCUUCAAAAAGGGGCAACCAAUCUCUCCUGGAUCCCGGUCCCUGUAACCCACCAAACGGAUAAUCUCUAACCCCCUGGAUCCCGGUCCCUGUAACCCACCAAACGAAUAAUCUCUAAUCCCCUAGAUCCCCAUUGGAAGAAAGGAGAACAUGCAGCCUGUUUCAAGCCUUUUAUGACGAGCUGAAUCGGCCAGCACCAAAGCUUCCAAAAAAGACAGAGCCACACACACCUUGCAUCACCCAGGUGGGGAAAAUGAGCUGGGCUGUGGGUGCUGGGAAAGCCGUGCCUGCAGUCCCCGUCAGAGGCUGCACUGCACAGGGAGCCGGAGAGAAAGGUGGAGAGGCCUCCUGAACGGGGCUCUGGGUAUCACAACAGCUGGUGCCUUCUGGUCAGGACGCAUGGGGUCUGCACCGCCGGCUCCAGGGAGGUGGCCCGCUGACAGUGAGUUAGUGUUCAGGGUUCUUGGUCCCAUCCCACACAGACAAGACUGCCCAGCCACAUAAACCAAGGAGCGAGAGUUCUCCAGAUUGUGUGUCUGGAGGCCAAGUGGGUCCCUUGUCCUGCAUCUAAAGCCCUGACCCCAUACCCCCCACAGCCUGCCCUGAGGUGGGUCCUGGCACAUGGUUGCUGACUCCAGGACAGGGGACAUGAGCCCACAGUGUGGGCCGCCCCUAGCCAUCCUCCGGGGCUGGCCAUGGCCAUGGGUGUGGCACUCUCGGGGCCCAGUAUGCAGCAACGGAGGCCACAAUGACGGGAAUCUCCAGUGUGGUCGGGCAGGCGCCCAGGCCUUCCCUGGCUCCAGUCCAUUGUCUGCCAGUUAUGUUCCCCAGGGGCCACCCGAUGCCUCUGGCACUCUCCGUGCUGGCUGGGAAGACCAGCGCUGGCCACUUGGCCGUGGGCAGCCUCCUCCUGGCACUAGCAUGUGUCCCUCCCUCUGUCCUCGCUGUGCCUGCCACGUCUGCUCAGCCACAUAGCACCGGAGUGUCCUCGCCUCUCCAGCCUCCCAACCUGGUGAGCCUCAAGGGCAUAGAGCUCUGCCCACCAGGCUGACAUACCCCAAGGGGGGACUGACUGGACUCAGGACAGUCCCGGCUCAUGGCAACCUUGUUGUCCACCUGGGCUCCUCGGCCUGGGUGAGUCCUUACUGGGGAGAGGGCUCCUCUGCCCUCCAGCUGAUGGGUGUGUGCUGGGGGACACAGGUCAGGAAGCAAAAGCAGAAAAACCAGGGAGGGGGCGUGAGAUGUGAAGGCGAAGAGGGGUCCUCCCCUGGCCAGUCUGUGUAGCCAGCUGCCCCUCACACCCCAAAGCCAUGCCCAGGAGCAGCCCCCCUGCUGUGUGUCCAGGAGGCAGGGCGCUGACCCCACUUCACCUUCCCCUUAAUCCAGCCGUGACCCUGCCCCACGCCGGGAUGCGCUGGGAUGGCUUGGGGGCAGCACCCUGCACAGCAGCUCUGGCUCUAAGCUGCACAAUCGGAUGUCCUGCACAGUCACCUGCUAAUCCAGGACAAGCCGGUGGAGGUCACUCCUCUGGGCAUGAGUCGCCACCCUGCACCCUGCAGGACAGGUAGCCCCACUCAGAGCCUUGGACAGAGGGCGGCGCUGCAUGGAGGGGCAGCCGGAGCCAGACUGAGAGCAAGGGGGCCAGAUGGAGGCAAGAUGCAAAGCAAAGCCUGGAAAUUCAGACGACACCGGGAACCUCCUGCACUCUCUUAGGUUCACCAGCGGACAGACCCGCCUGUGGAUGGACUCACCCUUGUCCUCUGGGUCCUGCCUGUGCCCAGGACUCCCAGGACCUCGGAGGGAUUUCUUCAAAGCACUGUGUUGAUUUUAUAAUUCACCUGCUGGGGAGAGUUGGCUUAAGGGAUGUUCUGAAAUGAACAAACAGCCACCGUCGCCUGUGAAGAGCCACAUGUCGCCCCUCCCAUCCCAGCUCCGAACUUCUGCGAGGUUCUCCCCUGCCUGCUGAGCUCCCUCCCUUGCGGCACUGGGGGUGGCCCCUCCUCCCAUGCUGCAGGGGCCUCCAGAUCCCAAGGGGCAGGCCCAACUCCCUGAGAAACUCAGGGACCAGUGGCCACUGUCUCCUUGGGGACAAGGGUUUGUCCAGAAAAUGUGGGCAGGAUGGGCAGGAUCUGAGACAGGCCUCCAGGUGCCGAGGUCACAAGCCAGUCAGCCCUAGCAGCAGGUGGUCACUGCAACACAUCAAGGCUCUUGUGACUUCGAGUGUGGCCCCUGGGAAAGGAACCAAAUGGGCCGACUCAGUGUGGCCCCUGGAAGAGGAACUGAAUGGGCUGACUCAUGUCUGAGAUGCCGGUCAGCCUCUCUCAACCUCGGGCCUCGCUGGGAGGCCAGACACUGGGCCAGGAUCCAGAGGGUGGGAGGUCACAGCUCAGAGAACGGGGGAGAAGUG